UACCUCAAGAUAAGAUUUCCCUAGGACUUUAUGUCCUCUAAAGAGCCGUUCGAGACUAGGACGUUGAUAGGUUGGAUGUGGAAGCAUAGUGAUAUGUGAAGCUGACCAAUACUAAUUGCUCGUGAGGCUUGACUAUACAACACCCAAGCAGUUG
rnacentral:rRNA from 1 species